rnacentral:tRNA from 1 species
GCCGAUGCCGGGCAGCGCGAGGAGCUGCGCGUGCUUGGCGGGUACGUCGCCGCCGUGCCGUUCCGUUAUGGCGACGGCGGCGCC